AAGAAACUCUUGAAUAUAUUUGUAAUGACAAGAGAAACCUUUUUUGCUUCUACAAAAUUUAUAGCAGCGUUCUAUUUUUCUGCCAGAAAAUCCUCUUACAGUGAACUCUAGAUGCUGAAGACAGAUGGACCACCAGAUGGACCCUGGGAAGGAUUGGUUAAAAUGUCAGUGAUAAGCUAACAGAAUGAAAUGCAGUAGACUGAGGAGACUAUUCCGCUGAAAACCAUCUACUGAAAUGGGGUUUGUAUUAUUCACAUUCAUUAAAGCACACUUCAACUGUGCUGUUUUGACAUUUUCUGUUUCGAGACUUUCAAGUCAAGCAGCUCUGUGCUUGCUGUUUUGCUGGGGUUUUUUUUCUUUUCCAAAUGGUUGUUUGAUGAUAGAUUUUCAAAAGUGACCCUAGCUCUUUAAGGUGAUUGCUUUGCCAUUGAGGAAUCUUGCCAUUGUUAUAUUCAGCCAUCAAACUUACAAGUACACCAAUUCAGACUCUGAAGAGCAAACUGAUGUAAGGAUGAAGAUUAUAUAAGGGACAGAAGUGAGUUAUUGCUUGCUUCUGGUAAACUAGCAUAACUUGCUUUCCAAUUCUUACCGUACAUUUACCUGCAAUACUAAUUUCAACAACUUCUUUGGAUUAAGCCUUGAGAAUUUCAUUACAGACAUGGAAAGAAAUGCAUACACGUGGCAGUGUAUCAGCAGUAGGGAACAAGCUAAGACGGGUCAGAAAGACUCCAGGCAGAAGCUUUGUUGCAAAACAGAAACACAAAAUAGAGAUUUGCCUGAUUUCAUAUGGUUCAUCAUUCAGCUGCUUGAUUUCUCCACUCUUCAUUUGCUUCACAAGAAAAAAGCUGUUUCUUUCAAACUUGCAAUAUUAGUUGUGAUUCUGCACCAGUGCCACAUGGCUGGUCUACCCAUAACUUCAUAAGGGAUAUUCUGCAGUUUCAAGUACAAAUCAAUUGUCACAAGAUCAACAUCAAAAUAUCUUCUUUACUGAGUCACACUAUAAAUUCUAUCAUGAAUAUUGCCACUCAAUGAUUCAUAAAUAAAAACAAACGUUAGCAUUGAGAGGUAUUCCUCUCUUACUUGAAAGAAUUCCCA
ensembl:lncRNA